rnacentral:rRNA from 1 species
UGCAGUCGCUCCGCCACCUGGUGGAUGGCUCGGCUCGGGCGCCGAUGAAGGUCGUGCCAAGCGGCGAUACGCGUGGGGUAGGCGCAAGGAACCUUUGAUCCCACGAUUGCCCAAUGGGACUUCCCGUUCCAAUCCGUAAGGAUGGGGAACUUCCCGAAUUGAAACAUCUUAGUAGGGAAAGGAAAAGAAAUCAAUAGAGAUGCCGUUACUAAAGUCGAUCGAACGCGGUGCAGAGCAAACUGAAUCCCUCCAGAAAUGGUAGGGACAUGUAGUGUAUGGACCUCGGCACAUCUUAACCUUUCAAUCUGAAGUCUUCUGGAACGUAGUACCAAAGAGGGUGAUAGUCCCGUAAGAGAAAAAAGGAAAGAUGAUUCGAGGUAUCCCGAGUAGCGUGCGUUGGAUAUCGCGCGUGAAGCUGGGAGGCAUUAACUCCCAACUCUAAAUACGUCCCGAGACCGAUAGCAAACUAGUAUCGUGAGUGAAAGCUGAAAAGUACCCUUGACGGGAGAUGAAAAGACCCUGAAAUCAGGUGGUUAUAGACUGAUAAGGCGAGUAAGGGACGAAGCUCCGUAGCGGGAGUGGACCGUCGUCUUAUCGUACGUUUCGAAAAACGGGCCAGAGAGUUUCGGUUAACGGCGAGGUUAAGCCUGAAGAGGGCGGAACCAUAGGGAAACCAACAUGUUCGCAUUCCUCGCAAGAGGAAGAGGAACGAGGUGUGUUCGCCUGAAGUCGUUGGCUGGAUACCCGAAACCGGUCGAUCUAUGCGUGGGCAGGGUGAAGCCUCUCGAAAGGGAGGUGGAAGCCCGCACGGGUGGUGAGCUACAAAUCCCUCCGAUGACCUGCGCUUAGGGGCAAAAGACCAAUCGAGACCGGAAAUAGCUGGUUCCUUCCGAAACUACUCGUAGGUAGGCCUUGGUGGAGAUUGACGGUAAGGUAGAGCACUGAUUGGAGAUUUUGGGGGCGAAAGCCCUCGGUUUCCUGUCAAACUCCGAAUUUACCGUUAUCGUAGAAGCCAGGAGUGAGGGCGUCGGGGUAAGCCUGAUGUCCGAAAGGGUAAGAACCCUGCCUGGGGUUAAGGUCCCCAAGUGCCGACUAAGUGUUACUUUGAAGAAAGUUCGCAGUCUAAAACAACUGGAAGGUGGGCUUAGAAGCAGCCACCCUUGAAAGAGUUCGUAACAGAUCACCAGUCGAGAUUGUGGGCGUCUAAAAUGGACGGGACUAAGUCGGCCACCGAUACCUCAGAGUACCUAAAGGUAAUCUAGUAGGAAGGCGUCGUGCGUGGACAGAAGCUUGGUCGAGAGAUCGAGUGGACCGCGUUCGAACGAGAAUUCUGGCAUGAGUAGCAGCAAAGAACGGUGAGAAUCCGUUCCGCCGAAAGGGCUAGGGUUCCUCGACAAUGUUCUUCAGUCGAGGGUUAGUCGGUCCUAAGACGUCUCUUAACCGAAGCCGUCGAAAGGGAAACAGGUUAAUAUUCCUGUACCUCUAAUACCCCUGUCCAAUGAGUGACACAUCGGGAUAGUUUGAACAGGCGCACCAGCCUGUCGAAGCGUAGAAGCUCGGGGAGAACCGUAAUGGUGAGAACUGAGUGAAUGCGCGAUAGGGCGGACGUAGUCCGCUUCAGAUCAUUCCUGGUGUCAGUGAAAAGCUCAUUGGUUACAGUAUUGGAGUCCGUACCGAGAACUGACACAGGUGCCCCUGCCUGAGCAAGGCUAGGCGUGUCGGAUUAAUUUGAGUGAGGGAACUCGGCAAAUUAGCCCCGUACCUUUGGUAGAAGGGGUGCCAGUCAUGAAGAUGGCUGGUUGCAAUGAACUGGGAUCUCCGACUGUUUAAUAAAAACACAGGUGGCAGCUAGUCCGAAAGGAUGUGUAUUGCCGCUGAAUUCUGCCCAGUGUCGGUAUCUGAAUCUCCGUUACAACGGAGGGAAGGACCGAUAAACGGCGGGAGUAACUAUGACUCUCUUAAGGUAGCGUAAUACCUUGCCGCUUAAUUGGCGGCUUGCAUGAAGGAUCAACGAGGGAUCCACUGUCCC